rnacentral:lncRNA from 1 species
CAGUGGUAAAGUUAAAUUGUUCUGGUGAAGCAAAUUUGAUUUUCGUUUGCUGAAUCUUAAAUCACUUUAGUAACAAUUUGAAUAAAUUUGAACAGUAGCAAAGCAAAAUGGAUAUAGUUUGAACAUUUUCACAAAAAAAAAGCUUUUUUUUUCUCAAAAUAACUUUUAAUCAAUUAAUAACUAGCAUGUAGGAUUUGUUGUAAUAUUAGGGACCAAGUUCCUGUGUUGUAAGUUAAGGCUUAUAUGUAGAACAAUGUUGUCCUGUUUUAAUAUGUGUGUAAUUAUAUGCACAUUAUUUAAUAAAAUACUACAUCAUUAAAUUAUGACAUCAUCUCAUGUAUUUAUCAGUUAGACUCAUGUGCUCAUAAUGUUAAGUUUCGUUUUGUAAUUGGUAUGAUUGUAUUUGAUACAUUAGAUGUAUAUUUCUGUUGUCAUGAAUGUUAAAAGAUAAUUGUCUAAAGUUCUUUUUAUUCUGGCAUUGCAAUAUUACUUGCUUUUUGACAUUUGUAAAUCCUUAUGUAGCUAUUAUCACAGGAAAAUAAAAAAUCUUGUUGAGGAAAAUGCUCCAUAAUUUAUGAAAAAAUCGGUAGAGCUUGCAAUUUUUUUUGUGUGAGUUUGAAAUAAGCUACAGAAGGUUUUAAAUAUGAAUAUAUUUAUAUAUUAUUCAUCCAUAUAUCAUAUUACAUCUUUUAAUUGCUGUAUCUCUGAGAAUUUUUUCUUAAAAAGGAUGAAAUUCAUUGAAACUAACACACAGUAUUGUUUCGAGAAGACAAAUUCAAUAUCAUUUAUAAAAAUAUUCAAAUAUAAAAAUCAUUGAAAUUUGCAUUAUGUAAGUUCAAAAUUGUUGAUAUAAAUUUAAAUAUACAUGUAGUUCCAGCUUUAAUAUUGUAAAAUAAGAUUCAUAAAAUAUUCAUAUAGCGUUGUUAUCCUGUAAUGGUUUUAAAAGCAGGGUAAUAAAUUUAUAGUUGCUGACCGCUGACCACUGACCAAUGUCUAUCAUUAUCAAGCAUUAACAGUUUUAGUUUAUUUUAUAGCAUUGUUUAUUACUUUAUAUACAUUUAUACCUCAUAUUCGAAACAUAUUAUAUAACAAGUCACAAAAUAGUUAUCAAUAAAAUUAGUAAAUGGCACAAGAGAAAAAGUCAAGGUUUACUUCUCUGACACACUACAAGCAUGCCAUAAACAUCAUUGUCUAGAAUAAUUAUUGUGAACCAAAUUAUUUUUGCGAGCAAUUUAUAUUUUCAGGAAUUUCCAAAGUAGAAAACUUAGUAUAUUAAGAGGCCAGUUAAUUAUGAGAUAUGUACUUGUAUUGUUCACUCUAGAUAAAUCAUUUUGAAAACAUGAAAGUAUUGUAAUGUCCAGUAGAGUCCUAAUAUAGAUUGGAAUAUUGAUCUGUAGGCUAGAUAUGUAAUAGCUAUCAAUUUUGAAGGAUUUUUUUUGUCAAGAAUCAGUAGGAUUAUUUACUAAGUAGGCAAUUCUAGUUGGAUAUUUCAUAGUAAAAAAACAGAACAGCAUUUCAAAACUAUAGAUUUGCUACAUAGAGUAAUCUAGGUUGUUUCAAAAUACAUACUAGAGUUGAUCAAUUUAAGAAUAACAGAAAGAUUUUAUUGAUAACUAAAUGUGACUGUUUAUUUAUGCUUUUGUAAUAUACUCAUGCACUUAUUGAUAAAGUUUUUUUUCUUCAUGUAUAUAUGUUAAAUGUUAAUUAACAAAGCUUUGAAUAUUAGCAUAUGUAAUAUUAAUGAAAGCUUUAUGAAAUUUUACGUUUAAACUCAUUUUAUAUCAGGACAGUGAUCAUAAGUUGAUAUUCGAUAUUAGCCUUAAUCUUGAUCUUCUGUGCGUUUACUUUUAUGUAGAUAAAUACACUUAUAUAAGAAAUUUCUCACUAAUUAAUAAUCAGAGAUUUAUCUAGUCUUGAGUAUCUUCCAAAUUGUGCCAUAAUUUUUUGCAACAAUGUAAUUUUACAGUAGAGAUUUGUCGUUAUUUGUAUUUUCCUUAUGGUAAUUUUUAUACGGUAGACCAAGUGAAAAUUCAGCACAGCACAGCAAUCCUUCAUACUGAAUUCAAAUUCACACAAUGAUUUUACUUACAGCUCACAUGGUUGUUUUUUUUCCUCUUAACAAAUAAACAGAAAGUUCACAUGAAAAUUUGUUCAUCUAUAAAAAGUUUUAAUGACAAAAAGAAAAUAAAUGUCACCCAUGAAAUUUCAUCGUAAAAAAAUUUCGGCAGUAAUUUGCUGGCCUGAUUAUGUGUUGAAUUUCGGAUGUUUAUUUUUAGACUUUGAUAUUAUUGAAUAAAAAGUAAUUUUCUUUUUAUUAUGACAAUCUGUACUUAGGUUACUCAAAAUUUCAGGGGAGAUAAUUUCCUGAUUUUAUAAUAAUAUGAUAUUGUUAGUAGCAAAAUUUCUUAAACUUAUGUUUGAUUUUGUUAGUUACAAACUCCCUUUAUCACUGAAUUAUCUCCCCUGAAAUACUCUGCUCAAACAUUGAUUAUGCAUAUUUACCUGUAUAGGUCAAUUGAUGUAAACAAUAUUUUAUUGUGAAAAUAUUAACAUAAAAAAAGUGUUAUAAUUUGAGUUUUAUAGGUCAGUUAAUAUAUUACAAGAUUCAACUUUUAAUAACAAAAAUGCAGUAUUAAUCAUUAGUUGCUGUUUCAGCUUGCAAUAUGUUAUAUUGAGGGCCCUCAUGGGGUUUUUGAUUAUGUGAUUACUUGGCCGUUUUUUUAAUGAUUAUUUGAUUAUUAAGCCAAAUAUUUCAUGAUUAUUUGAUUUACCUAGGACUGUAUUUUUAGUUUAUGAUUAUUUGAUUACUAAAGAUAAGCAAAUAUUUAAUGAUUAUGUGAUUAUAUUGGCAAAAAAAUGGUAAUUAUGUGAUUACUAGGACCCCCCCCCCCCAUGAGGGGCCUCUAUAUUAUAAACAAUUUGUUUGCUAUGUGAUGAUCCAAUAUUGGUUGUGACACAUUUUUUUGUAGAUAGCCCCUACCUACCCUUAAAUACAGUAUGUGGCCAUAAUUUAGUGGUCACUGUCAAACCCACAAAUUUUCAUAUAUUUCAUACAAAACCACAUAUUUUUAAGUGCUUUCUCAGAAAUGUUUGUCUGAUUUUGAUGAAAUUUUAACCAAUGUAUACAUAUAUAAAUCUGUAGUGUUGUAUUUAGUAUUUAUUAACUAUCAAGACGAAAUAAGAAAUCAAAACUUAUUUUUUAACAUUCACAUAUAAAUGAGGUAAUAGAAAUUCCAAUAAGAUAAUAAUAAUACAAGGUUGAUAAUAUCAAAUAUUAAAAUAGAACCUUACAAAGAAUUUAAACAAAAUGAUAAAAGUAAUCAAUUUUGGAUUCAUUAAUUUUCAUGGGAAACGACUUUUGUGGUUUGAUAAAAUACUUGAAUAAUAACACCCAAUUAAAAACGCAUUUGUUGAAUACUUGAAUUAGUGGUUUACAUCUAUCCACACACAAAUCCACAAAAAUUAUAUAUCAUAAAUAAUAAUGAAUUCACAGUACAUGCUAAGUCAUUUUAUGAGUAAAUAAAUUCAAUAUUUCGUAAAGUAAUCAUAUAAAUAUUUUUCUUGAACGAGAUAAAGGUAACCACAUGGUUAAAAAAAAACUGUCAUGCUUUUUGAUAAGAAAAUAAUAAAAUGUUUUGUGAUUUAAUUAUAUAAUCUUAAUUUAACAUGCAAGUUAAAAUUUAGAAUAAUUGCUUUAUAGUGCUUUUGAAUAAUUGCUUUAAAUUGUGCUUCUACACAAUUGUUUAUAAUAGUGCUUUUGAAUAAUUACACAAAAUGGUGCUUUUGACUGAUAAAUCUAAUAGAGCUUUUAAUAAUUACAUAAAUAGUUCUUUUGACUGAUAAAAUUAAUUGUGCUUUUGAAUAAUAAUAUAAAUAGUGCUUUUGACUGAAGAAGUAAAUAGUGCUUUUGAGUGGUUAAAUAAAUAGUGCUUUUGACUGAAGAAGUAAACAGUGCUUUUGAGUGGUUAAAUAAAUAGUGCUUUUGACUGAAGAAGUAAACAGUGCUUUUGAGUGGUUAAAUAAAUAGUGCUUUUGAUAGAUUAAAUUAAUAGAGCUUUUGAAUGAUUACAUAAAUAGUGCUUUUGUCUGAUUAUAUUAAUAUUGCUUUUGAAAUGUUCUAUAGUGCUUCAAAUAAAUGUUCAUAAUGGUGUUUCUAAAUAUUUGUGUUUCAAAGUGCUUUUAAACAAUUGCUUUUAAUAGUGCUUUUUAAUAGUAUGUAUAAAGACUUGCUUUUAAUAGAGCUAUUCAAUUAUUAAUUGUGCUAACUUGUAUCUAAAUAAUAGCUAAAAUUUCAUUAAAAAAACAUAGUCUUAAAAAUAUUGUGGUUUUGUAUGAAAUUUAGUGAUAUUCUGGUUUUAUUACCAAAUUAGAGCUUCAUACUGUCCCAUUAUAAUUCAGUUCAAACAUUCCGUGUUUAUGGUAGAAUAAAAGCAGUUUAAACAUUUUUUCCCAAUUUUUUAUUUUUCUUGGAUCCUACACCGCUUACAGCUUAUCAUAAAAAAUCAGAGCUAACAAGUUUUACUUUAAGAGAUUUUACAAAUGCUCAUCUGGAAAUUGUCUUAAUAAAAACUACAGUAUAUUAAAGAAUAUCAUUAGUUUUGUUAUAAAACAGUUGGAAAUGAAAAACUAACUAUGUGAGAAAAAUAAGUCAAUUAUCUCCCUUUGAUAUAACUUCCUGACAAUGGGAGAUAAUUUGAAUUGUCUCCCUUUAUUUAACUUGUUCGAGGGACUUAAUUGACUCAUAUUUCAUUAGGUACUUCAUUUCAUUUUAAACUCUUAGAAGCAUAAAGUGCCCAUUAUAUUUUGUUAGUAUAUCUCAUUUGGUACUAAGAAAAUUUAUAUAUAGAUUAGUGGUGCUUUUGUGCAUACAGUAGCUUUGUAUUGUUUCUAUUUUAUGAAUCACAUUUUUGUAAGUGUUGUGUGUAAUAAAAAAA